UCCAAAAUUUUAAAUAGCGCGCUAUAGCGUCGUUAUACACGUCCAAGCACACGCCGCGCUACGCGAAGCCUGAUUUUAGCUACAACGGAUUAGCGUGCUAAUAGCGCGCUAGAGGCCAUUUAGCGCUGAGAUUGGGCCUCUAGCGUAGCGUCCCGCGUCUUUGGCCUGAAAAUUUUGGCCCAAAAUUGAAUUCCUACGCGGGCCAAAGCCCAUGCCUACCAACUAGAAUACCCCAAAUCCUCCUCUCCAGCCAAACCCUAUCCUCACUCCCGUCAUAUUCUCUCACCCAGGAACAGCGGCGGCGGCCGACCAACGGCAACCAUGGCGACGGCCUCGAGCUGUGACUCCGGCGACUGACCUUCCUCGCCACUCCCUCCUACCGACGAGCUAUUCCACCAGCCAAGGCCACCGGAGCUCCCUGCGCUGACGACCGCAUCCACAGGCCACCGGAGCUCCCCGCGCGACGGUGCUCCCCGCGGCGACCGUGAGCGAGCAAAUCCCGUUAGCAGGUGUUGGUGGCUCAAGCACAGCCUCAGUAACAGCACCUCCACUCUCUCAAGUUGUUGACUCGAAUGAUCCUGCGUGGAAGUAUUGCACUCUUCCAGAUGUCAACAAAAAGCAUUGGCAGAAAUGCAACUAUUGUGGCAAGAUAUGCACAGCUGGCAUUACAAGGGUAAAGUUUCACCUUUCACAAAUAACAAAUUGUGGUGUCACACCAUGCGAGAAGGUUCCUAGUGAUGUCAGGCUGGAGAUGAUAGGUUUGCUCCUAAAGAGUGCUGAGCUGAAGGAAAAAAAAGAUUGAGGGAUUAGAGGCGGUCAGAUCUAGUGUAGACAUAGAUCACUCCGAUGGAGAAAAUGAAAGUGAUGAAGACAAUGACAAUCAGGUUGUGGUGUUGAGGCCAAAAUCAGGAACAAGCAGCUCAAUGGGUGGCCCUAUGGACAAAUUUUGCAAGCCUAGUGUAGAAGAAAUUGUCAAGAGGAAGCAAAAAAGAAAUUGUGCACCUGAAAAGGUUCAAUCAAAGGUGUCAACUCAGGAAAGACAAAAGAGGAGGGAUAGGGCUUGUGGAUAUAUAUGUCAAUUUUUCUAUGAAGCUAGCAUCCCACAUAACACCAUACUUGUACAGGAAAGACAAAAGAACAAUAUAGCACCAUACGACAACAUUUGUGCUCAAGCUGUACGAGUACAGCAGAUCAUGGUGUACAGAGCAAUAGUAAAGCUUGAACUAUUACAGAA